GGGACCUCUUGCUCCAGCCCUCUCACUUUACCUGCAAGAAAACGCAAACACUCAAACCUGGGAAUAAGAGUCUGUGCAAACUCACUGGCAGGUGGUGACACAGCUGUUUCACCGCUCUCCCGGCAUUAAGUAAGAAAUAAACUCACAGAGGAUUGUUAAGACGGGUAGUUCCUGGUCAUCAGCCUCUCCCAGAAAAAUCUGUCCUACAGGAUGCAAAACUAUUGCACACAAGACACAGCCAAGCAAAGAUAAAAGAUGGAACGUGUUUCUUUUGUCUACUCCCACGGAAACCCCAUUAUCCUUGAAAGACCACGUGACUGCACAGAGCCCAAUCUGGGCUGAGAGAAGGAGUCCGCAAGGACAAGCUGAGUGAGAGUGGAAAAUGAAGUUGUUACCAGUCUGCAAACGGCAGUCCUCACUGCCUAUGAAUAUUUGAAUAAGUAACUAAAAACAGCUCCGUAAACUCUAAGCAACUGUGACAGCUGAAACUGCCUGGAAACCAAGAGUCUGUGAGGACCAGGAUGAAAAGAUCAGUCGUUGCCUUCUGCCUCCUGGUACUGGGGGUCUACAGGGGGACAGUAUCAGAUCUCUGUUGCUCAGGUAUAAGUUAUGGAAAACGUGAUUUGUCUCUGCACCUUCAGAAGCCAAAUAGCCCCCAAACCUCUUGUGUUAUUUUUAACUCAUUAAAAUGCAAUGAUUUCUAACACUA